AGCUUUGCGCAGAGGCAGUGUCGCAACCAAUGAAGUUCUAACUGUUGAGCGACUAUUCCUAGUUGAAAACAAACUUUUAUUAGAAAAAAGUCACAGUUUCGCCGCAACGGCGAAGCAAUGAAUUCGAUAACAACAAAUUGG